AGUAAAGAUAGUAAGGGCAUACGGUGGAUGCCUUGGCUAUACUGGCCGAAGAAGGACGCGGUAAGCUGCGAAAAGCUACGGAGAGGUGCAAGCGACCAUUGACCCGUAGAUAUCCGAAUGGGGGAACCCGGCAGAGUGAAGCUCUGUCACCCAUACCAGAGAGUAUGAGGAGGGCACCUGGGGAACUGAAACAUCUAAGUACCCAGAGGAAAAGUAAUCAAACGAGAUUCUCUUAGUAGCGGCGAGCGAACGGGGAAGAGCCCAAACCGGACUGGUUCGCCAGACCGGGGUUGAGGACUGCUAACAAGCAUAAAUGGGAUAGACGAACCGACUUGGAACGGUCGGCCGAAGAAGGUGAAAGCCCUGUAGUCGAAAUCCUGCAUAUGUGGAGCAGUAUCCAGAGUACCACGAGACACGUGAAACCUUGUGGGAAGCAGGGGGGACCACCUCCAAGGCAAAAUACCAGUAUGGACCGAUAGCGCAUAGUACCGUGAGGGAAAGGUGAAAAGCACCCCGGGAGGGGAGUGAAAGAGAACCUGAAACCGUAUGUCUACAAACAGUCGAAGACCGUAUAAUUGCAGGUCGACGGCGUGCCUAUUGAAGAAUGAACCGGCGAGUUACUGUCACUAGCGAGGUUAAGCGGAAAACGUGGAGCCGAAGCGAAAGCGAGUCUGAAUAGGGCGAAGAGUUAGUGGUAGUAGACCCGAAACCGUAGUGAUCUAUCCAUGGCCAGGUUGAAGCACAGGUAAAAUUGUGUGGAGGACCGAACUCGUGAGCGUUGAAAAGCUUUGGGAUGAGUUGUGGAUAGGGGUGAAAUGCCAAUCGAACACGGAGAUAGCUGGUUCUCCCCGAAAUAGCUUUAGGGCUAGCCUCAUGGUAAAGAGUAUAGGCGGUAGAGCUCUGAUCGGGCUAGGGCCCACACCGGGUACCGAACCUAGUCAAACUACGAAUGGCUAUACUUAUACAUGGGAGUCAGACUAUGAGUGAUAAGGCCCAUAGUCAAGAGGGAAACAGCCCAGACCACCGACUAAGGCCCCCAAUGCUGCAUUAAGUGGCAAAGGAUGUGGAGUUUCCAAAACAACCAGGAUGUUGGCUUAGAAGCAGCCACCAUUUAAAGAGUGCGUAAUAGCUCACUGGUCGAGAGACUCUGACGCCGAAAAUGUCCGGGGCUAAAAUGCAGAGCCGAAGUCGUGGCAAUGGUAGUAAUACCAUUGGGUGGGGGAGCGUUCUUAUUGGAUUGAAGCAGUACCGGAAGGAGCUGUGGACUGGUAAGAAGUGAGAAUGCCGGUAUGAGUAGCGAAAGAAAGGUGAGAAUCCUUUCCACCGAAAGCCUAAGGGUUCCUGAGCAACGAUCGUCGUACUCAAGGGUAAGUCGGGACCUAAGCCGAGGCGGAAAAGCAUAGGCGAUGGACAACAGGUUGAAAUUCCUGUACUAGUAUGAAUUGUUUGAUCGAUGGAGUGACGCAAACAGGUAGGUUAGCAUGCGAUUGGAAGUGCAUGUUUAAGCGUGUAGGUUGAGUAAUAGGUAAAUCCGUUACUCUAAAAGCUGAGGCGUGAUGACGAGCUCAAAAGAGCGAAGUAAUUGAUCCUAAGUUGCCGAGAAAAGCUUCUAGGUAGAGACAUACUACCCGUACCAAAACCGACACAGGUAGGCGGGGAGAGAAUCCUAAGGUGCGCGGGAAAACCCUCGUUAAGGAACUCGGCAAAAUGCAUCCGUAACUUCGGGAAAAGGAUGACCCAUGUAGUGUGAAAGCUUGUAACGGCUCUAGCAUGAAUGGGUGGCACAAGAGAGGCGCAAGCGACUGUUUACCACAAACACAGGUGCCUGCUAAAGCGAAAGCUGACGUAUAGGUGCUGACACCUGCCCGGUGCUGGAAGGUUAAGAGGAGGGGUUAGGAGUAAUCCGGAGCUCUGAAUUGAAGCCCCAGUAAACGGCGGCCGUAACUAUAACGGUCCUAAGGUAGCGAAAUUCCUUGUCGGGUAAGUUCCGACCCGCACGAAAGGUGUAACGACUUGCGCACUGUCUCAACGAGGGACCCGGUGAAAUUGAAGUACCUGUGAAGAUGCAGGUUACCCGCGACUGGACAGAAAGACCCCAUGGAGCUUUACUGUAACUUAGGAUUGAUUUUAGUUAAUGAAUGUACAGGAUAGGUGGGAGACGUAGAAGCUAGGGCGCUAGUCUUAGUGGAGUCGCUGUUGGGAU
rfam:Veillonella sp. oral taxon 780 str. F0422 ctg1127947897872, whole genome shotgun sequence.